rnacentral:lncRNA from 1 species
CUGGCUCUUUAAAUACCCUGAAAGUCACUUCAGCCAGAGAGGGAGGGGCUUACAGCUAUGAGGGGAAUACAACAACAAUGGCUGCCCUUCUCUGUUUGCAUUCCUAAGAUCAGAAGCAGUCAUCAGUGAUCAGAGCACAGAUCCCUGAUAUUUGAAGGUCAGGGCCCAAUUUGUGCCCACCUUGGCUUCUGCAAGCUACGUGCAAGCUGCCCUAGGAACACAUGCAGAACUGCCUGCCAAAGUGCCUGGGGUAGGGAAGUAGGUGGGGGUUACUGUGCCAAGAGCUGAAAUUGGCCAUAGUUAACUGCAAUUGGUCAUCCAAGCCUUCUCCUGAAAGUUGAAGACCCUCAACAGACUCCAGAGUUCCAAAUCAGUUGGAUUAGACAGCUUCUGCCAGUGAAACUGUUGUCUAGGAAACUUUAUUUCCUACUUCUGCACGCCAAGUUUCUACCUCCAGAUCUGUUUGGUUCAGUUGCUGAGAAGCCUGACACACCAGUGCCACUUAAAAGAAGCCAUCUACCGGUGAGUUGGGGGUGCUUUUUCCAUCACUUUAUGAAUCAAAGGCUCAAAGCAUCUCGAUGCUAGAUGCAGGGACUGGGAGUCUGUAUUGCCCAGGAACUUGGGGGAUGAUUAAGAUAGGAGAAAGGGGUGGAGAGUGGCAUCUGUCCCAGGAAAGAUAGAGAGAUCCCAAUGGCAGGAAGGAAGCAUAAAGCAGAGGGAGAACUCCAUCAGAGCUCAGUUGGUAGGAGAGGGUUGGGCUAAAAGAAGACAAUUAAGAAAGUAGGACAAUCAGGCUUCUCAAAUACUGCUCCUCUCAUUCUGCCCCUCCCAGCCCCCAAGGACUGUGAAGAGCUGGAACUUUCUACCCUGAAUUUCUCCCCCUCUAGUCCAUAUAUGUGAUAGUACAGGCCCUGCACCAAAAUACACUUCUUACCUCAAUUCAGAGGCUGAAGUAAGGGGUUCAUUUUUCUGAGAGGCAGAUUUAAUCAAUUCUGGUUGAUGUGUCUUGACACUUGAAAGUGACACCUAAACCAGUGCUCUUCAGCCUCCUUGCUACGUGUCUGCUGUGGUAGGAGCUAGGUGACACAGGAGUAGAUGAUAAAAAGGUUUCUGGCACUUGAGAGGCAGGUGAACAACAAAGCAUAGGAAACACACGGUGGAAGUGGCUGGGGCAGUUCAUCCCCAAUAUGAAUCACCAGAACAAGGGUCUGCACUGUGUGUUUCUGACUGACAGGCUUCCUGUGUAAUCUGAAAGCCAGCAUUUCAGAACCACUGAUCCA